GACGAACGCUGGCGGCGUGCCUAAUACAUGCAAGUUGAGCGCUGAAGGUUGGUACUUGUACCAACUGGAUGAGCAGCGAACGGGUGAGUAACGCGUGGGGAAUCUGCCUUUGAGCGGGGGACAACAUUUGGAAACGAAUGCUAAUACCGCAUAAAAACUUUAAACACAAGUUUUAAGUUUGAAAGAUGCAAUUGCAUCACUCAAAGAUGAUCCCGCGUUGUAUUAGCUAGUUGGUGAGGUAAAGGCUCACCAAGGCGAUGAUACGUAGCCGACCUGAGAGGGUGAUCGGCCACAUUGGGACUGAGACACGGCCCAAACUCCUACGGGAGGCAGCAGUAGGGAAUCUUCGGCAAUGGACGAAAGUCUGACCGAGCAACGCCGCGUGAGUGAAGAAGGUUUUCGGAUCGUAAAACCCUGUUGGUAGAGAAGAACGUUGGUGAGAGUGGAAAGCUCAUCAAGUGACGGUAACUACCCAGAAAGGGGCGGCUAACUACGUG
rnacentral:rRNA from 1 species